rnacentral:rRNA from 1 species
GGAUCGGGCGUUCCCCCUUCGGGGGGACAGGGUGACAGGUGGUGCAUGGUUGUCGUCAGCUCGUGUCGUGAGAUGUUGGGUUAAGUCCCGCAACGAGCGCAACCCUCGACCUUAGUUGCCAGCAUUCAGUUGGGCACUCUAAGGUGACUGCCGGCUAAAAGUCGGAGGAAAGUGGGGAUGACGUCAAAUCAUCAUGCCCCUUAUGACCUGGGCUACACACGUGCUACAAUGGGCGGUACAAAGGGUCGCGAACCCGCGAGGGGGAGCCAAUCCCAAAAAGCCGCUCUCAGUUCGGAUUGCAGGCUGCAACUCGCCUGCAUGAAGCCGGAAUCGCUAGUAAUCGCGGAUCAGCAUGCCGCGGUGAAUACGUUCCCGGGCCUU